rnacentral:rRNA from 1 species
UACGAAGGGGGCUAGCGUUGCUCGGAAUUACUGGGCGUAAAGCGCACGUAGGCGGCUUCUUAAGUCGGUGGUGAAAUCCUGGAGCUCAACUCCAGAACUGCCUUCGAUACUGGGAGCUCGAGUCCGGGAGAGGUGAGUGGGAACUGCGAGUGUAGAGGUGAAAUUCGUAGAUAUUCGCAAGAACACCAGUGGCGAAGGCGGCUCACUGGCCCGGUACUGACGCUGAGGUGCGAAAGCGUGG